GGGCAAUGUCCCGAGCUGGCUCCACUUCCGCCGGUGAAAGGUGGCCGGUACCCCUCCGUGGUUAGGAGGCUCUGGGCCUGGAGUCCCGCAUGGAAGGAGGGCGCUUCCGCACUUACGGGAGCCCAGAAACUUCUGCAGCCUUUCUGCGUUGGCCUUUCCUCCCUGCGCAGCCUAGGGGGAGGAGUCUACUCUGGAUUUUGGUCGGCCUAUGACUGAGCUGACAAAAAGGAUGCAUCAGAAGUCAGCUGUGCACAUCUGGCCUGGCCUUUGGAAUAACUUUCAGCUUCCACCUGAGAAAGCACACUGAAAGACCUCCAGACUACCACAUGGGAAGGAAAAGUUACCAAGCUGAUUCAAGUCUUUCUUUCAUCUCAGGAAAAAUUGCACUGGUACCACAUUGCAUCUUCAGUCCAUAUUUCAGGGAUGUGAAACUCUGAGGAGCUGCGACAGCCUGACCC